UACGAAGGGGGCUAGCGUUGCUCGGAAUCACUGGGCGUAAAGCGCACGUAGGCGGAUUUUUAAGUCAGGGGUGAAAUCCUGGAGCUCAACUCCAGAACUGCCUCUGAUACUGGGAAUCUUGAGUCCGGGAGAGGUGAGUGGAACUGCGAGUGUAGAGGUGAAAUUCGUAGAUAUUCGCAAGAACACCAGUGGCGAAGGCGGCUCACUGGCCCGGUACUGACGCUGAGGUGCGAAAGCGUGGGGAGCAAACAGG
rnacentral:rRNA from 1 species